AAUAUGUUUAGAAUAUAUUAUCUCCAAGCAUGGUUAUCAAGGCGUCGCCUAAGCGACGCCUAGGCGUCCGGUCGGUCAAGACCGUACGCCAAAUGUGCUCGCCUCGCCUAAGUGUAGAAUACAACCCAAAACUCCACAAAACAUACAUGGGCAGAACCUACACACUAAAGCGAGUUGACCGGUGUAAUUUUUAGCCGGAGAAGUCGCCAGAAUCUGCCUCACGCGCUGGCGCGUGGUGUCGGAGCAGCGGCACAGCGGCGGCGCAUGGUGGCUCUGAUGGCGGCGCGG